AUGAAGAACUUCAUCAAAACUCAAGUUCAGUCUUGCCUGAUCUGUCAACAAGCUAAACCUGAAAGGGCACGGUACCCUGGGCUCUUAUCACCUCUUCCAGUUCCCCCCAAAGCAUGGGAUACAGCGUCUAUGGAUUUUAUCUCAGGCCUUCCCUCCUCUUAUCAGUAUAACUGCAUCUUAGUGGUCAUUGGCAAAUUUUCCAAGUAUGGUCACUUUAUGGGGCUCACACAUCCUUUUAAUGCCCAAAAAGUUGCUGAGAUCUUUUUGGACAAUGUCUAUAAGUUGCAUGGUAUGACCAGGUUGAUUAUUUGUGAUAGAGAUCUCAUUUUCACAAGUGCAUUCUGGAAGUUUCUCAUUUCCAAGACUGGUGCUGAGUUAAACAUGAGCACAACUUAUCACCCUGAGACUGACGGGUAG
rnacentral:rRNA from 1 species